rnacentral:rRNA from 1 species
AUUGAACGCUAGCGGGAUGCUUUACACAUGCAAGUCGAACGGCAGCGCGAAAAGAGCUUGCUCUUUUUGGCGGCGAGUGGCGAACGGGUGAGUAAUAUAUCGGAACGUGCCCAGUAGCGGGGGAUAACUACGCGAAAGCGUGGCUAAUACCGCAUACGCCCUACGGGGAAGGGGGGAGUUCUUCGGAACCUCUCACUAUUGGAGCGGCCGAUAUCAGAUUAGCUUGUUGGUGAGGUAAAGGCUCACCAAGGCCGCGAUCUGUAGCUGGUUUGAGAGGACGACCAGCCACACUGGGACUGAGACACGGCCCAG